UGAAAACUUUAAGAUAGAUGAAGGAGCGAGUCGAUAAUGCAAUUAUAGAAUAGUUGAUUGGCUUGUUGAAAACUUUAAGAUAGAUGAAGGAGCGAGUUGAUAAUGCAAUUAUUUUGGCAUGGAUAAAGAUCACAACAAGGCGUUAGCAGAAGAGUUGCUCCUUUUCAAGAAUGGCUUCAUUAUGGGCACAACUGAUUCCUUCGAUAUUUGACGAUUUUUUAGUGAAGUUAUUGAAAAUUUUCAAACCUAAACAGGUAAUUAUUUUAAUUCACUAUAUUUAUUUCUUUAUUAAAAUAGGUUGGCCAUGAUUCUCAGUUUGUGGCUUUA